GAUGAAGAACGCAGCAAAAUGCGAUAAGUAGUGUGAAUUGCAGAAUUCAGUGAAUCAUCGAGUCUUUGAACGCACAUUGCGCCCCCUGGUAUUCCGGGGGGCAUGCCUGUCCGAGCGUCAUUGCUGCCCUCAAGCACGGCUUGUGUGUUGGGCCUCCGUCCUCCUCCCGGGGGACGGGCCCGAAAGGCAGCGGCGGCACCGCGUCCGGUCCUCGAGCGUAUGGGGCUUCGUCACCCGCUCUUGUAGGCCCGGCCGGCGCUUGCCGACACAUCAAUCUUUUUUCCAGGUUGACCUCGGAUCAGGUAGGGAUACCCGCUGAACUUAAGCAUAUCAAUAAGCGGAGGA
rnacentral:misc_RNA from 1 species